rnacentral:tmRNA from 1 species
GGGGACGCGCGGGUUCGACAGGAGCGUCCUGGGGCAGAUUGCAAGCCGAGGCGCCACCGCCCUCGUUAAUCAGGUGGCACACAAAUAACUGGCGAACGUGAAUUCGCUCUAGCCGCCUAAGCGCGGCUACGUCCGUACCCUGCUACUCCCGGAUGCGGGGCUACGGGCGCCAUUAGGCCGGGAUGCGGUUGCCCUGAAGCCGAUAGGGGUUGCUCAAGAUUAAUCGGCUGGCCUGACGGAUAUUAGGCCGGCGGAAGCUCCGACAGGCGAGAACUAGAGCGCCGGACAAGCUUGUAGUAGAUCUAGUCUAGGGGCCUUUUGGACGGGGAGUUCGACUCUCCCCCGUCUCCACCA